rnacentral:rRNA from 2 species
GGUUAUAAGAUCCCUCAAAGAUGAUGAGGUUAAUAGGUUCGAGGUGGAAGCAUGGUGACAUGUGGAGCUGACGAAUACUAAUCGAUCGAAGACUUAAUCAAAUU